ensembl:lncRNA
GUGACCUCCUUUUUGGUCACCUGACUUCCUGUUGGUGUUGCUGAGCUUAGUUGCGGGUUACUUUUCCGAAGCCUCCAUCGCAGCUGGUCGUAGCUGUAGAAGCCUCCUCUGAGCCAUUCUGCUUACGUUUUAUGACACGGCUUACUUGGUAUGUAAUCAACUUCUGUUACGCUCUCUGCCUUCUGUUGUUCUUUUAUAGUAAUUAUUUAUUAUGCUUUGCAGGAAGUGUGGGCCUGAGUUUUGCGCCAAGCUACGUGAACUGAAGUGCUGCUGCUUUGCUUUGCUUUGCUGUGAUGCUUUGCUUUGUUUUACUUUAUUUUUACUGUCUGUUCCGGCUGCGAAGUUUCUUUGCUGCUGCCAGCCUUUAAAGUGGACGUCGGCGUGAACAACGGCCAUAUGCAUGCCACGCGGGUCGGCUGGCGCGCAUACUGAUUGACUGACUGGAUAAUUAACUUAUAGCCGUGCAGACGGCAAGUUGGAGCAAUACGGCGAUUCCGUUUGCUCCAUAUUUUAGAGUUUUACCCAGAUUGUAUGUUGUUUUACUGUUGUUUGAUUUGUAGUUUGGAUUUUUGUUACGCCACUGGUGGGAGGCCCUUUUUCUAGCUGUAGAUCACCAGUGUGGUCCUGCAGUUGGGUUAUCCCCCAGCGCUGCAUAUUAGUUUUGUUGUAAUAUAUUAAAUUUUCUUUGUUUCUUUUAUUCAGAUGCGGAGUGCCGACGUGGAGGAGACCAGGGUGCCUUGGUGGUGGGAUCCUCUGAGUGUACACACCUGCCUUGUUUAAUUUAUAGUGUGAGUGUGUGAUAGUGUGCUGCACUUGUGUCUUGGUGUAUUUUCUUCUUUUUUUGAGUUUGUGUGUGGCAUCCCUGCCCUCCACUGGUAAGCCUCAGCUCUGAAUACCUUUUUUAGCAUACUUAUACACUGAUAUUUAUGACUGUGCUUUUAAACGUUGUUUUAAUUAAUAAAUUGUCAAUUUAUUUUAUCAUCGAACCUCGUCUCUGUAUUGAGUAUAACAAACCUGACUGCCUUUUUGGUUAUUUAGUGUUACUUCCAGUAUUCUCUGGGUGAAAUUCCCAGGGUGGCGUUGUCUUUUUUUUUAAAACUGAAGAGUAUUUACUUUAUUUCCACCUCGUGCUGCCACAAACUUGGCGUUGUCGACAGGAUAUACUCUUUAAAAACAGAGACGUGUGUUCCUUUUUAAUUUUUUUAUUAUCUGGUGUAACGUAAACUGUUUUUUAAAUUUUAUUUUGUACAGGAUAAAAGCAAAGCAGCAGCUACUUUGGUGUGGGAUUCCACAGCUGUGUUACAGAGAUGGAGGAAGAGUUACAGGAACUCAGGGACUUGAUCGUGCAGCUGAAAGCAGACAAUGAGAGGCUGCGUCAGGAGAGGGCUGUUGGGUCAGGCCGCACAAGGGCUCCUUGCUGAGGUGUACCUGCCACGGCUAUCAAUAGAGUGAGUCGUCAUGGGCUAGCUAAUGCAGCCCACUCCCACUGAGGUAAUCCUUCAGAGGCAUCCCACGGCCUGAGAGAAAUGUCAGAGCGCUGCUGUGAGGAUCAGUCUGAACUUGCAUACAGAGAUAGAGAUAUAUCUUAUUUAAGCCUGAUUUAAUUUGGGCUGCUUGGCAAUGGUGAGGGAAAGUGUUGUGUGCAGAACAGAGGGUGGGAGCUGGGGAUGCGAAAAGUCUGUCUUUAUUUAGAGAAACUGGCUUUGGUACAACACAGGCCAGAUGCACGGCAAAGUGAACUGACAGAUGUAGUGGUCACAGAUAUUUCUCUGCUCAGAUUACCACCUGUACUAGUUCGACCAUAUGAAUAUUUAGUGAAUGCUGAAGUGCCUUCUUUAGUACGCCUUCCACAAACAACUGUAUUCUGCCACACUGGAUUUCUGGCACAAUUUGAAAGCGUAACAUUGAUAAUUCAUUUCUCAUACAGAGAGGGAGAAGCUCAAAACUUAUUAAUAAAACUUUGUGAAACAUGUGGUUUCACAGUUGUGUUCGGCUCCCUGCUGGGACCACUCAGAGAGGUUCCACUGGAUACCGUGGGUUUAUCUAAAGUCUUCUAACAAGUGCUACAAAUGGCUAACAAAGGUUACUGAUAACACUAAUCAGAACAAAUUCUUCUCAUUUAUUUCUUUGUUUCUUAUAUUUUAAUUGAUUUGCAAUCAAUCUGGAAAUUAAAUUGAUGAUUAAAUUAAACUUAAACUUGUGGUAGUUAAUUUGUGAGCUCACUCUAAAUCUCCUUGGUCAUGAAUUCAAGAAAGCACACAAAUCGGUGACCAUCUGCCAAAACCUGACAUGCUUCUGUAUCAAUAAGAGAAUCAAAAAGGAAUCAAAUUGAUAAGUGAUAUCGAUAAUGUAAACGGAAUCACUAAAUUCUUAUCGAUUCCCAUCUGUAGAUGUAAUCAACUCAAAGUUGAAUUGACUCCUAGCUGAAACCGUCUGGAUGCAAGUCACCUUGGACCAUUGUUUUAUACUAUCUUUAAAAAUGGCAUGCUACUCAUCAUUAAUAAGGCUACUAUUUCUAUGUAUGCAGAUGAUUCAGUAAUAUGUAUGGCAGCUAAUAAUGAAAAGAGUUAAAUGUAGCUCUAUAUUCUGAGUUACAAUCAGUAUAAAUGUAUAAAGAACAAUAAAUUAAUUUCUAAUGUGUCUCAGACAAAUAGCAUGACAUUUGGUUCUAACCAGGCUAUUAGAAAAAAUCUGAUUUGUAAGGUUUCCACUAAUGUGCCUGUUGAUCAAGUCCAUGAGACCAAGUUUCCAGGUGUAAUUUUAGAGAGUAAACUAUCCUGGACAGAACAUACUAAUGAAAUUGUUGUUAAAAGUUGUUAAAACAUGAAAUGGUAUCUCUGUAGGUAAAAGAUAUGCAAAUGUUUUUGUCACCAAAAUUGAUCAAGCAGUUAAUCCAGGCAUUGCUCUUGUCUCAUCUUAAUUAUUGUCCAGUGGUACAAUGGACCAGAUUAAGAAACUAACAAAUCUUGUAACAAUGCAUUCAUGUCUUAACUGGUUAACAGCAAAACAUUCAUGACUUUACCCUUUACUUGUAUUUUUCAGAAAUAUUAUUGUUACAAAGAUUUGAAUUAUUUUUUUAUAAAACUAGUAUUUCAGUGUAGCUGGACAUUAAUAUUCUAACAGACAGGGAAUAAUUUAUAUUAUCCUCCUUAGCAAGAAGCAGUUUAGUUAAAAGAGCAGUUUUAUACAUUGGUUUGAAGGAAUGUAAAUUUUAUGUAAAUGUUUUGUUAUCAAUGAGCAUAAGCCUGAUAUGGGGCAAAAUUUGUGUUGCAAGAAGCUGUUUUUGUUGCCUGCAUGUGUGUUAUUGUGUGAUGAUGUUGUGUGUGUUUUAUAGUGCACUGUCACGUUUUAAAGAUUUGUGACCCCAGGAAGAAUAGCUGUUGCAUUACUGCAUAUUUGGGCUACAUGCUCAAUAUCCAGUUGAAUCUGAGAACAAAAAUGCUUAAAAGUUUGCUGAGUUUGCCCACAAAAAAGGGUUUGAAGCUUUUUCUCCUGGAUGUUUGUACUUCUACCACCAUCUUUACUGUUGCAAAAUGUUCCCAACUGUUUAAAUAUUUCCAUCUGGACCGCACAACAUCAUAAUGUCCGUUAAACACGCAACACGAAAUAUUGACUGAUAACAAGCUUAACAUAAACCAAUAUUCCUUCUGAAUGGAAUAUUUAAUUUGGAAUAUUUCUUGGCUUCUUUUUGAUGAAAUUUUGCCUCUCAGUUCCCGUACCAUUGGGCACCGUGGCAAUCAUUAAAUAUGCAUUACUAAUAUUGAAAAUAGCCGUCUGUUGUAUGUGAUGCAAGCAGUUUUUGGAGCAGAAUUGGGAGGUGUUGUUCUGUUUCUGAAGUUUUCCAGCUCACUUCUCUAAUCCAUACUGACAGAGGAAGCUCUACAGGAAGGCAGUACAACAGGGGCUCAGCUUCCACUAGUCUGUACUCUGCUGGGAGAGCAAGGUUCUUCCUUCAUACGUGGGAUGUAUUUUAGCAUGCCUAAAUAAAGAACAGUUCUUUCUUGCUGAAUGAAUAAAUCAAUGAAAUUAAUUCUGCUUUCAGUAGAAACACUUCCCUCAGUGAUAUCAAGGUCCUUGAGCCUUGCUUUGAUUAUUUCCAUCCAUUUUGGAUGCUAUAUUUUUUUUACGUCCUUGAUAAUGUAGUGUUAACGCUCCAAGGCCACAAAUAGCUUGAUCCAUCUAGGUCCCCUGUCCUCUUAAUGAAAGUGCAAAGACACUCGCCCUCUAUACUGAUGCCUCUUCCUGGCAGAUGGCUUGAUAGGCUCGCGCACAAGUCUGCCAAGAUGAAACGAUGCCUCAAUGCAAACAAUACUCACAAUAAGCCCUUUAAUAGCAUUUUCCCCCACUGCCAUAGUAACAGUCCUGUGUAAUAACUACUGAUACAGUAGAGUGAGCAGGAGGAGAUGAAGAAAUUUUCAGCAAAACAAAGAGACCCUGUCGGCUGAUGCAGUCAUCUGCAGGAGAGAGGAUGGGUCAAUAACAGACGCAGGGAUGAAUUGUUGGCCCUGUUGAGUGGAUCUGAGAUAGGGAUGUGCGUUCUCUGUGAAGGAAACAUAUUCCAGGGCAUAUCCAACAAAAAAUACUAUCUGCUUCACACAGAGAGUAUUGUUUUGGCGAUGAAAAGAAUCCAGCUGGCAAGCUCUGCCACGUUUCUCUCCUUGGAAGGAAUCGCAGUUAACAAUUUGGAGCAAGCAGCGCCUUGACUAAACAGAUAAUCAUAUUAUUGUAUUGCAUCUCCAUACAUUACGCACGCCUGCCGUAGACUGCAAGCGUGUGUAAUGUAUGUACAGCUCAGUAAAUAGAUCAAUCAGCGCACACAUCCACGGCCGCGCAGCAGGAAUGGAAAAAAAACACAACAACCUCUCCCCGUUUUUCUCACCUCACACACACUCUGGGAUAUUUGCAGUACUUUCAGACCUGUUGUCUGGGAGACCACUCCUUGUUUAGAUGUGUUGUCAAGGAAACAAAGAUGGAAAAAAAAUCUGCUCGUUGAAAUUUUUAGAGAAUCCAUCUGCUAGGUUGGAACAAGGAAAAAGUAACGCUCAGCCUAGUUGGACGAAUGCUUCCAAUAAAACAUAUCUUCCAAAGGGAAAGAGGUUUUAUUGAUUCUGCUACACUGUUAUUAAUAUAAAAAUGGAGCCGGCUUGUUGUAAAUAAGCCAGGUGGAUUCCUUUUUAUUGCAGUCCAGCGGAACCUUUUACCUAUUGAAUCGAAAAUUGCGUGGGACAAAAAUCUACCAUAUAAGUCAGGUAGCCCUCUGCAGUGUAAUUACUGCCGAGCCGGCCACCCGUCUCUGUAAUGCCGAAUAACAGGAUGUCCAAAUGCUCAUAAUCACCUAUGAUUACUGGUGAAAGGUUAAGCUGAUUCAAUCCCUCAGCCCAAUUUGCUACAAAAUCCAGGAAAAUACUACAAAG